rnacentral:rRNA from 1 species
GAUGAACGCUAGCUACAGGCUUAACACAUGCAAGUCGAGGGGCAGCAUUAGGUAGCAAUACUGAGAUGGCGACCGGCGCACGGGUGCGUAACGCGUAUCCAACUUUCCCGUUACUCUGGGAUAGCCUUCCGAAAGGGAGAUUAAUACCGGAUGGUGUUGAAAAUUCGCAUGUUUUUUCAACUAAAGAUUUAUCGGUAACGGAUAGGGAUGAGUGACAUUAGGUAGAUGGCGGGGUAACGGCCCACCAUGCCUACGAUGUCUAGGGGUUCUGAGAGGAAGGUCCCCCACACUGGAACUGAGACACGGUCCAGACUCCUACGGGAGGCAGCAGUGAGGAAUAUUGGUCAAUGGUCGGAAGACUGAACCAGCCAAGUAGCGUGAAGGAUGAAGGUUCUAUGGAUUGUAAACUUCUUUUAUAUAGGAAUAAAACCUCCCACGUGUGGGAGCUUGUAUGUACUAUAUGAAUAAGCAUCGGCUAACUCCGUGCCAGCCGCCGCCGUAACAC